UGGGGGAUAUUGCACAAUGGGGGAAACCCUGAUGCAGCGACGCCGCGUGAGGGAAGACGGUUUUCGGAUUGUAAACCUCUGUCUUUGGGGACGAACAAAUGACGGUACCCAAGGAGGAAGCCACGGCUAACUACGUGCCAGCAGCCGCGGUAAUACGGAGGGUGCGAGCGUUAAUCGGAAUUACUGGGCGUAAAGCGCUCGUAGGUAGUAUAUCAAGUCAAGGGUGAAAUCCCCGCGCUCAACGUGGGAACUGCCUUUGAAACUGGUAGACUUGAGUGUGUGAGAGGAUAGUGGAAUUCCAGGUGUAGGAGUGAAAUCCGUAGAUAUCUGGAGGAACAUCAGUGGCGAAGGCGACUAUCUGGCACAUAACUGACACUGAGGAGCGAAAGCGUGGGUAGCAAACAGGAUUAGAUACC
rnacentral:rRNA from 1 species